AUAACAAGGCUCAAACUCUGGUAGAAUGCCAGUUUGAAAAGAGUUUGAAUUUUUCCUAAAUUUGCUAAACUUUGAACUUAUAUUUGGAUGUCUUCCACUCAAAAUCAGGAAAAGUGCAAAUAACAAAAGUUAUUUGUUUUUGAAGUGUUCUACAACUUUCAUAUUUGCCAAAAGUUGAGUUCUUAUAUGAAAUUUGAUUUUUGACAAGUACCCCCAAUUAGAGCUUUUGAGGCUUGUUUGAACACUUAGUGCAUUUGAAAUGUCCGUUCACAUUGGCAUUUGAAUUUUUGGGUGCUUUCUACCUUUUCUCACUUAAUUUGGCUUGUUUGCAAGUUUAAAUUCUUGUCUAGC
rnacentral:lncRNA from 1 species